CAGUAACUGUUAACACAUGGGAAGUUGACUGGUUGUGACAGACAGUGGGGAAAUCGGUGUGCAUACAAACUGGGAACAGAACCUGGACUCCCGAGGCCGGUCCUGGUUCUCAGAGUGAGGAUGUGCCGUCACCACGGAGCCAAGCAUGAAAUUUUGGGUCCCUCUCUGCCUCAGCAUAAUUCGUUCUCUGAAGGGACCACUAGCACAGCUGAGAAGUGCUUUAAGUCUGAGCACCACCGCGGAGACAAAGUACGGCUGGAGGACGAGUAUCAGUGCUGAGUCUGAUCUGCACACACUGAAGAUGCCCCCCAGGUCAUCUGGGUAUGAAACAGCUGCAAUCCGCAACGGCCCUGGGAGAAACCACUGAAGAGUGCCCUUCAGCAUCCACAGCAAGAAAAUCAGGCCACAGAAAGCUGUAAAGAGCCUUGGGAUGGAGACUGAGAAGAGGCAGGACCACCUCUGACAUUUACGUCAGUAGUGAGAAUCAGGUGGACUGAUGAAACCUCUAGUAAACCAAAGGCACCCUACACCUACGAUAGUUGUUAAGAUGUGCACAGACGUAGGAUUGACCCACAUCAAACCAUCAGAGGAAGCAUGCAGAGAUGCAGCAUGCACAUGACUCUCUAGGCCUCAGUUUCCUCACUAGUAAAAGAGACAACUUUAAUGAGUUGGUAUAUGCAAAUGAGUUAUGUACAAAUGAAAUGAGGUAUGCAAAUGAGUUGAUGUACAUAAAUGAGUUGAUACAUGCAAAUGAUUGAUGUAUGUGAAUGUAUUACGUAUGUAAAUGAGCUGUUGUAUGUAAUGCACUCAGAACAGUACUCAGUACCCAGCCCUAGGGAAGAAUUUUCAAAUAUCAAUGCUGAGUCAGAAUUACAGGUAAGAAGUGGUUCACACGGUUCUUGUCACAAAGAGUGACCCAACCUGGCCCCUUAGAAAACAGUUUCCUAACCUAGUUUUUGUGUGCAGAUGACUGCCGUUCUCAUUUCAGGUUUGCUCCUAUCCCAGGGAAGAGGGGAGGUACACACACCAAAUGGCUUCCCUCUGUAUCGGUAGCUGCCCAGGCUGUUCCCCAAAUGUCCAACUUGUCUCACCCACCCACCUACUUACUGUUGAUUUGUGCCUGCGCUAUUGCUGUUUCAUUAUUAAUAAGCCAAGAUGAAGCUGGAAAUUGCUUUGUGCUGUUGAAUUUCAGCACUGCCUCCUGUCUGUCUAAUGCCCCUCGUGAUAAACAGCCACCCAUAGGCUGAAAAGGUUCCCAGCUCCCAGGUCACCUGGUGACUGGCCUCCGGGGUAGCACUUGUCCUGUCUCUGAGGCACUUUGGUUUCUCCUAAGGGGUCUGGGGCCACCUUCUGUUCCUCACAUCUGCACAGGCUGCUAUCAGUCAGGUGUCCCAUGGGGCUAGAAGGGGCAUGGCCUGUAUCACACCUUAGCACGGCUCCCCUUAGGGGCUGCAAUUUUGGAGGUGAGACCGCCCAAAUCCAGAAUCUUUUCUCUCCAGAGCACACACACGGGAGUCUGCGGAGGCUGUCCCUGUGCUGUGGGGACAGAGAGUGAGGGGCAGUGAUGAGAGUGCGAGGAGCGGAGGGGAGUCUUCAGUGGAGG
rnacentral:lncRNA from 1 species